rnacentral:rRNA from 1 species
AACGAACGCUGGCGGCAUGCCUAACACAUGCAAGUCGAACGAGACCUUCGGGUCUAGUGGCGCACGGGUGCGUAACGCGUGGGAACCUGCCCUUAGGUUCGGAAUAACUCCCCGAAAGGGGUGCUAAUACCGGAUAAUGUCUUCGGACCAAAGAUUUAUCGCCUUUGGAUGGGCCCGCGUUGGAUUAGCUAGUUGGUAGGGUAAAAGCCUACCAAGGCGACGAUCCAUAGCUGGUCUGAGAGGAUGAUCAGCCACACUGGGACUGAGACACGGCCCAGACUCCAAGGGGAGGAGGGAGGGGGAAAUAUGGAACAAGGGGGGAGGGCUGGAACAAUCAUUGCCGCGGGAGGGAUAAGGGCCUUGGGGUGAUAAAGCUUUUUUACCGGGGAUGAUAAGGACAUGCCGGGAAAGAAAAGCCCGGACUAGCUCCGUG